rnacentral:rRNA from 1 species
AGUGAACGCUGGCGGUAGGCCCAACACAUGCAAGUCGAACGGCAGCACAGUAAGAGCUUGCUCUUACGGGUGGCGAGUGGCGGACGGGUGAGGAAUACAUCGGCAUCUUCUUUUUCUUGGGGGAUUACGUAAAGCCACUUACGCUACUACCUCAUAUGUCCUACCGGUUAAUUCAGUGGUUCUUCGUACCUUUCCUGACUGAUUUAGCCGAUGUCGGAUUAGCUAGUUGGCGGGGUAAAGGCCCACCAAGGCAACGAUACGUAGCUGGUCUGAGAGGAUGAUCAGCCACACUGGAACUGAGACACGGUCCAGACUCCUACGGGAGGCAGCAGUGGGGAAUAUUGGACAAUGGGCGCAAGCCUGAUCGAGCCAUGCCGCGUGAGUGAAGAAGGUCUUCGGGUUGUAAAGCCCUUUUGUUAGGAAAGAAAAGAAGCAGGUUAAAACCCCGCUGUUCUGACGGUACCUAAAGAAUAAGCAACGGCUAACUUCGUG